GUGUCAGCCGCCGCGGUAAUACGGAGGGUGCAAGCGUUGUUCGGAAUCACUGGGCGUAAAGGGUGCGCAGGCGGCCACGUAAGUCUGAUGUGAAAUCCCGGGGCUCAACCCCGGAACUGCAUUGGAAACUGCAUGGCUCGAGUACGGGAGAGGAAAGCGGAAUUCCUGGUGUAGAGGUGAAAUUCGUAGAUACCAGGAGGAACACCGGUGGCGAAGGCGGCUUUCUAGACCGAUACUGACGCUGAGGCACGAAAGCGUGGGGAGCAAACAGGAUUAUAUACCCUGGUAUUCCACGCCCUAAGCGAUGACAACUAGAUGGCGCAGGUAUUUACCCCCGCGGUGCCGUCGCUAACGCAUUAAGUUGUCCGCCUGGGGAGUACGGUCGCAAGAUUAAAACUCAAAUGAAUUGACGGGG
rnacentral:rRNA from 1 species